CGGACGGGUGAGUAACACGUGGAUAACCUACCUAUAAGACUGGGAUAACUUCGGGAAACCGGAGCUAAUACCGGAUAACAUGUUGAACCGCAUGGUUCAACAGUGAAAGACGGUCUUGCUGUCACUUAUAGAUGGAUCCGCGUCGCAUUAGCUAGUUGGUAAGGUAACGGCUUACCAAGGCAACGAUGCGUAGCCGACCUGAGAGGGUGGUCGGCCACACUGGAACUGAGACACGGUCCAG
rnacentral:rRNA from 1 species